GGCGGCAUGGCUCAGGAGGUAGAGCGGGCGGCCUAGGACCAGUUUGAACCGGGCGGGUGGCCCGGUUCGAACCCCGGCUCCUCCA